AGGGGCCUGCAGCGCCCGCACCGACUCCCGGGACCUCAGGCUGCCAUGACACCGGAAGCGGGAGUGCUCAGACCAGCGGCCGGAAGUGGGAGAAAGCCAAUCCCACAGGCUGAAGGGGGAGGAGCAAAUUGGGGCGGGACCUCCAGGGGGAAAUUUUUGUUUAGCUAAGGACUAAGAAAUAUUAAACUUAAUUAUUAGAUAUGGGAGUGUAGCACAGUAAGUGCUUGUCUUACAUGCGCAAGGAAGGCCCUGGAUCCAGCAACACAUACGUGCUUCUACUGGGAGUUGGAGAAGAACGCAUCAAGAUUGAGAAGUCAUUUCUCUUGCCACCGCAUAGACAGAUGGUCGAAAGUUUUAAAAAAGAAUAAGAUUCCUCAUAAGGUUCCUCAUUCUGCUUUGCCGCAUUUUAAAGGACUGAAAAAAUACAGCUCUGCUCUUCUUUAUGAGUGUUGCUACGUGGGAUGACCACUGAAGUCAAUACAGUCCUGGUGAGAGUCACCCUUGGGGAUGCUGAGACGCGAAGAUAUAUUUAUGCCAGUACCCUGCUUGAUCCUGCCUACGACCACCUCAGUUAUGUUUCAUCAAAAACCUGCAUCCAAGACAAUUUCUAAAUGGCUAGCUAGAUUGUCCAGCACUACAGACUAUUCCGGUCAGGACUUCACUUAAGCCCAGAACUUUCUCAGCAUGCAGAGACUGGACAGGAAGUGCUAUGGCUAACUUUCUUGAGACUGACCAACAUCCCGAUUUGAGGGUGGGGCAAAAUAAAAAUGAUGCUCCAAGUCAGCAGGAAGCAGUUUUAAGAGAGUGAUACCCCCAUUUCCAAAAGGCUUUUUUGGCAGUGCGACAAGUCAGCUCCUGGCAGCACCCCCAUUCUACUUCAAGAAGAUGAUGACCAUAGAAGAACCUAGCCAGCGGACAAAAAAACUGCCCUUGCUUCAACUGCGCACAGAACGCUGUCCAAAAUGACAAAGAGCGUGCAGCGAAGGUGACCGCUGAGCUUUGCCAAGACAAAGUAAGCAAUUCUUCAUCAUUCCUGCUCCACAGAAAAGUCUGUCAGACAUUCUUGGCCAGAAGACUAAAGAUAGAUGCUCCAAUGUUAUAGAGAAUAUUUGGGGGGACUGUCUAGGCAGCCUGUGGGAAAACUCUGCUAAUUAAGGUCGAACUCCACCAUGACUGGAUAGCCUCUGAGCUCAGCACAAAAUGGAAGAUUCUCUUCUUUAGCAGGUUUUCUCCUCCUUUAACCUUGUCCAGGGGACUCUAAGCCCGACACUGGCCUCUACCAGAGGAAUGUCACAUAGCCUUAAUUAAGGAUCAAUUCUCUUCCACCUGACAAAGCUUGUUCAGCUAGCAACUGAGAUUCCUGAAAAUGCCUCUCCAUGCUAAUGAGGUAUGCCAGGUACCCUAAGUCCCCAGCCAAUGACCUACACCCAUCCCAAAAUUCAAACCUUUAUUCACCCGAAAUAAAGUUGAUCUCCUGCUGACAAACAGUCCUGGUGUGGUCAUUCACUGUACUCACGGGGCUUCCAAACCCCCAUCCUCAUUUGCCAUUUACGUUCCCACUGCCCCUGUGGACUGUAUUGGUCAACGGUCCACGAGAGUGGGGAGACCCACAAAGCCAACUAUCCCUGUCAUUUCUACAGUUUUGGAAGCUGCUUGCCUGAACUUCCUGCCCAUUUGGGUAAUAUUUAUCCCUUCUCAAGUUUCAGAUGGAGUUGGAGACUGGAGAGUCAUAGUCUCACAAUAAGCUGAAGUUGUUUAGAUUUUAAGAAAAAGUUCUUAAGUCUAAGAAGAUGUUUUAGGUUGGUGAUGCAUGUGAUGAUAGAACUUGAUUUAGCUACAGAAGUCUGAACUCACCAAGACAGGAAAGCUAGAGGAAUAUCUUCUCCACGUUGGUCGAAUACAUAGGGACUGGACAUUGUGAACAUAAAUCUUACCUGAUCGUUUUCAGAAUUAUUAUCAUUGUAUAUCAUUUACUAUGGUAAGAGAGAGAACCUUUUAUCAGAAUAAAAGAAGGAAUAGAGAGAGAAUCUUUACAUACUCUGUGGAACAUCGCCUGCCAAGAAAAAGCCUACAGCCAAUGAGCAGAUGCAGGAUUAGCAGGUGACAACAGGCAGAGAGAGAAGGAGCCUGGAAAACAGUCAGGUGAGGGAGAUUUGCCCCAAGUGCGUGAAAUGGUUGUAUAGACCUGAGGAGAGGUGACCAACCAGGUGGCAGGGCUUAAAAUAGGUAAUGAAGUUUGACCUCGUUGGGGAACAAGCCAAAGGUUUUGGCGUACGCAUUUAUUCAUGAAAUAUUAAGGCUCAGAUUUAUUAUUUCAGGAACAUAUUCCUGAAUGGAAAAGUUCACAGGUACAGCAUUCCUUUGGACCAGGGAUAUGGGUGAAUGGUAAAAUUUGUGAUCAGCAUGUGCGUAUUCUUGGGUUCAAUGACACCAAAAGACAUAAACAAAUAACUUAUUUUUAAAAAAAAAACAUAUAUGGCUUUGUUAAAGCCCAUCUUCGGGUUUUUCAACUUCCUCCUCAUGAUUGUCAUACCCUUUCCAUAUGCAUGUU
rnacentral:sRNA from 1 species